rnacentral:rRNA from 1 species
GAUGAACGCUGGCGGCGUGCCUAAUACAUGCGAGUCGAGCGAACGGACGAGAAGCUUGCUUCUCUGAUGUUAGCGGCGGACGGGUGAGUAACACGUGCAUAACCUACCUAUAAGACUGGGAUAACUUCGGGAAACCGGAGCUAAUACCGGAUAAUAUUUUGAACCGCAUGGUUCAAAAGUGAAAGACGGUCUUGCUGUCACUUAUAGAUGGAUCCGCGCUGCAUUAGCUAGUUGGUAAGGUAACGGCUUACCAAGGCAACGAUGCAUAGCCGACCUGAGAGGGUGAUCGGCCACACUGGAACUGAGACACGGUCCAGACUCCUACGGGAGGCAGCAGUAGGGAAUCUUCCGCAAUGGGCGAAAGCCUGACGGAGCAACGCCGCGUGAGUGAUGAAGGUCUUCGGAUCGUAAAACUCUGUUAUUAGGGAAGAACAUAUGUGUAAGUAACUGUGCACAUCUUGACGGUACCUAAUCAGAAAGCCACGGCUAACUACGUG